CGAAGUUAGUAUGAGUGACAGAAGCUGGCAGCUAGCUGGUAGAAGAGAAACCACUACAGGAUUUUCCGGAGACAAGGAAAGACACAGCUACAUGUCUAGGUGCGGGCCAAGGAACUGAACAGACACUUCUCAGAAGAGGAUAUACAAUCAAUCAACAAAUAUGAAAAAAUGUUCAACAUUUUUAGUACUUAGAGAAAUGCAAAUCAAAACUACUCUAAGAUUUCAUCUCACGCCAGUCAGAAUGGCAGCUAUUAAGAACACAAACAACAGGAGAACAGCAGCCGAUUUGGAUUCCAGAAAGAUUAACUAAAGCCAUUUCUACAGACCAAAAAGAAGAUGAUUUGGCUCAAAUCCAUAACAACUGAUAUCCAAAACUCCAGUUUGGCUAUUCUUACAUCUGCAACAGAACCAGGAUGCUUUUUUCAAUAUCUAUUUUAUUAUUGCCCUUUGCCAUAUCAUGAAGUUCUAUUUUGUUUUUUGAGCUCAUACAGACCUAGGUUAAUGUUUUGCUGAUCAGUUCUAUUUUUUGACUAUAGAGUUUUUAAACAUUGCAAUGGAGAUUUCACCUGUAAAAAGUUAUAAGGCCUUUACUAUAAUGUUAUGUGUUGUAUGUAUUAUAUGUGCGCACACUUGUGUUUUGUGUUAUAUGUUUGAAUGUACGUAUGUCCAUAUAUCAUAUAUGAUGAGCGCUCAUGAUAAAAUGGAUCCAAAUAUUUUUUUUUCACGUGAUUUAUAUGGUUUAAUUUAAAUUGGGUAAACAACUGUUGAGGAUUGUUUUAAUAUGUAAACAAAAAAGAAGGUUAACAGAUCUGUUUGUUUACUUUCACCUUUCCUUUUCAUUAUAUUUAAUAAUUCUCUUAAAGAUAAUGUAAAUUGUUAAGAAAAUUGUUUUCUUUUAGUGCCUUCUGUAAUGUUACAUAAUUUUUUCUUUAGCCAUUAUUGCCAGAAUUCCUAUCUUCAUCCCAGUGCCGGUGAAGACAAUGUAAAUUGUUAAGAAAAUUGUUUUCUUUUAGUGCCUUCUGUAAUGUUACAUAAUUUUUGCUUUAGCCAUUAUUGCCAGAAUUCCUAUCUUCAUCCCAGUGCUGGUGAAGUCAAAGAUAAAACCAAUCUACAGCUUCUACAAUAGCCAUCACUGAACUGCUUGCAGAACUUGCCUGGACACAUUGUGAGCUCACCUGUAUGCAUUGUGAACUAUCUGUUGGUGCAGCGACUUGUGGUAGUGUUGGGGUAUUUUUGCUGAUGAUGUCAUUGGUGGUACAAUUUUUCCAAAAGGAGCAGUCAAUUGGCCUGGUGUAUCUUCCUCCCUUCUGCUUGUCAUGAUCGUCCAGCUAAAAUUUGGGGGCCAACAGAGGUGAGGCAAAGAACCUCACCCCCCCGCUGGUACAAAGACCUCUCCACAGGUGUGGCUGUAUACUGGACCGGUAGUCAGUGACGGGUAAGAUCCAAUUGCAAUGGUACCAACCUAAGGACCAUAUGUACUAUUGGACAACCUAAGGCAGGCACGGUCCCUAAGCCACAUGCUUGUUGUUUAAUCAGAGAGGGGGAGAUGUUGAGAGCCACAGCCGAAGGGGCCCCAGCAAACUUCCAGCUGCCAGCAAACUUCCAGCUGCUGGCUGCUGAUUGGCUCACAGCGGCCCCAGCAACAUCUAGCUGAUUGGCUCCUCUGCGGUGAUGCUCAUUGGGCUGUUUCCCUGCCCUUUCAGACCACGGAGCUGCUCAUUGGGGGACUUUUUUGGCUCCGCCCACGUGACCCAGCCAAUCGGCCUCAAGAGCAGGAGGAUUGUGGGAGGUGGGGGGAAGCUUGUGGGAGAGAGAGAGGCUUGUGGAAAGCCAGUGGUGGCAGUUGAGGCUCUGAGGAUUUUUCUUGAGAGGCUGUUUUGUUUGGCGUGUGUGGUUCUAAAAAUAAAGUUAGUUUCUUUUGACAAGUGGCUCCUGAUUGUGCCCAGCCAGACUGCGGCAAACCACAUAGAUAGAAAUCCUACCAAUGGGUAUGAUAUAGAAGAUGAGUGGGUUUCAGACUCAUAAUCAAACAAACAUGAUGCACAUAGGUACCAAAGCUAAGACAAAUUAAGUCAUCACUGUAUCUACAAAAGGUUGGCUGCAUUUUUUUAAGGGUAAUAGAAUAAUGUGGUAUGAAAUAAACAUGAGAAAUGGAUACAUGAGAAUAAAUAGGUUUUUUCAUCAGUUUUAUGAAAAGAUAAAGUAUACUAUUGCCUGAAAUCAAUAGACACAUAAGAUGGAUAUAAUUAAUGAAAAUCCUGGGAGUAAAAAUAUGAUCCUACAAUGUAAUUUCAAAGUUAAUUUUUUUUUCCAGAAGGCUAAGCCAAAAUCAAGAAAAUCAACUCUUCACAAUUGUAAAGGUUCAUAAAAUAGAGAGGACCUUUCAAUUUGCACAUCUGGUGGGAACCCUUAAGUGAGACUUAAAACCUCAGAGAAGCAUUAAUUCCAAAUGGAACUUCUUUGCUAGGUUAUUCAUGCCACUAGAAAAAUCAGGAAGACCAUUAUUGUUAAGUGGAAUGGUACUGUAUCAACUAAAGCUGGAAUCACAAAAAGAGAUGUCCUAUUGUAUUAUGCUGUCCAAAUAUAUUUGUUAUGCUAAGCAGAGGUAAGAAGAGCAUGUUUUCAAAAAUAUCUGAUGUAAUAGAAAUAUCACUUUUUUAAAGCAGAUGAGGCAGAAGUGCCAACACAGAAUUCAAGACGGUAAGGGUAAGGAGUGCUGCAUGAAAAAGGGGACAAAAUAGACUUUUCAGUGCUGAGUACAUAGUAGGUUUUCAAAAAUAUGUUAGCACAAAUAUUCAAUUCUAAUAUGAAGCCUAUGAAAAUAUCUCCCUCUGGUAAAUCACGUUGUGUCAUAUAAAUUUGCACAUAGCAAACUCUGUAUAGCGCAUACCUUAUAAGGCACUAUGUAUUUGGUUAUAGUAGUGGUAAUGCUUUUAACUAAAUUACAAUAUGUGUUUCUCAUUA